CAUGAACGCUGGCGGCGUGCUUAACACAUGCAAGUCGAACGUGAGAGGGUAGCAAUAUCCUUGAAAGUGGCGCACGGGUGAGUAAUACGUAGGUAACCUGCCCUGGAGUGGGGGAUAACAACUGGAAACGGUUGCUAACACCGCAUAAUACCGGACACUAGGGAUAGUGACUGGUAAAAACUCUGGUGCUUCAGGAGGGGCCUGCGGCCGAUUAGCUAGUUGGCGGGGUAAGAGCCCACCAAGGCAUUGAUCGGUAGCUGGUCUGAGAGGACGAUCAGCCACACGGGAAAUGAGACACGGUCCCGACUCCUACGGGGGGCAGCAGUGAGGAAUAUUGGGCAAUGGGCGAAAGCCUGACCCAGCAACGCCGCGUGGAGGAAGACGGCCUUCGGGUUGUAAACUCCUUUUACGGGGGAAGAGGAAGGACGGUACCCCGAGAAUAAGUCACGGCUAACUACGUGCCAGCCGCCGCGGUAAUAC
rnacentral:rRNA from 1 species